rnacentral:rRNA from 1 species
CCUACGGGUGGCAGCAGUGGGGAAUAUUGCACAAUGGGGGAAACCCUGAUGCAGCGACGCCGCGUGAGUGAAGAAGUAAUUCGUUACGUAAAGCUCUAUCAGCAGGGAAGAAACACUGACCUUACGGUCAGCAGACGGUACCUGAGUAAGAAGCCCCGGCUAACUACGUGCCAGCAGCAGCGGUAAUACGUAGGGGGCAAGCGGUAUCCGGAUUUACUGGGUGUAAAGGGAGGGUAGACGGUGCGCCAAGUCUGGAGGGAAAUGCCGCAGCUUAACUGGGGGACUGCUUUGGAAACUGGCGAACUAGAGUGCGGGAGGGGUAAGCGGAAUUCCUAGGGGAGCGGUGAAAUGCGUAGAUAUUAGGAGGAACACCGGUGGCGAAGGCGGCUUACUGGACCGUAACUGACGUUGAGGCUCGAAAGCGUGGGGAGCAAACAGGAUUAGAUACCCGUGUAGUC